rnacentral:sRNA from 1 species
UAGGCAGGCGACACCGCGGCAGCAGAGCGCUGCACGACCUCCGCCUCCCCCAAUCCGUCCCGUCUCCUCGCCCGCCGCCCUCGACUCCCGUCUCCUCGCCUGCCGCUGGCGCCGAUCUCCAUCCUGCUAGCAGAGGUGGCGCCGGCGUCCUCCUGCUCCCGCCGCAUUCGCUCACCGGUUAUAAAUUGA